rnacentral:rRNA from 1 species
UUAAAUUGAAGAGUUUGAUCAUGGCUCAGAUUGAACGCUGGCGGCAGGCCUAACACAUGCAAGUCGAGCGGAAACGAGUUAACUGACCCUUCGGAUGACGUUAACGGCGUCGAGCGUCGGACGGGUGAGUAAUGCCUGGGAGCUUGCGAUGAUGUGUGGGGUAACCAUUGGAAACGCUGG